rnacentral:snRNA from 1 species
GGGCAGCCACUCUGUGCUGUCCUGGAGCCCAUGAUCGCCAGGGCUGGUGGGGCUGAUCUGGCUGUACAGGAGUGUGUCCCCUUCCACCUCCACAGCUCCACCUGUGUCCCUUCUCAAGCCACAUGCCUGGGCCGGGACAACCUUCCCGGACAGAGAUGAGUACAUAGCAGCUGCACCACUGCUAAACCUCCACACAGCUCAAGGGUCAGGAACACGGGGUCAGCCAACAGGCCACUGGUGGGUGCUAUGGACAAACACAGAGGGGCACUUAGU